rnacentral:lncRNA from 1 species
UGAUUUGAUUGGUUGUUGGUAUUUGAAUUUUUAUUUAUUUAAUUAAAGUUUUUAAAAGGAAAUUAUUCCUAGAACUACCUAAUCUAAUAUAUAUUACCAUACAAACAAUUAAACAUUUUAAAAUAGAAGAAUUAACAUAAUUUGUUUAUAGAAACAAUUAAAUACAUAGAUUACAUUAUAGAAAUUUAAAAUAUACAUUUUAAUACAUAUGGUAUGAAAGAAAUAAUUAUAUAAACGAUUUUAAAAUAUUUAUAUUAAUAGUGGAUACAAUAAAUUAUAG